AGGGCACCUCGGAUGAGCCCCCAGGGAUCCGCAGGGGUGUGCAGACCCAUCCCGCCAGACAGCUGCUGGAGGGUUUCAGGUUUCCAUAGGCUCAGACUCUCCCUGACUGGCCGAACCGGAGGCCUGUACCCCAGCCAGUCCUCGUCCUGUGCUCUGGUCACCACAAUGGGCCCUUUGUGGGGUCCAGCCGCCUCAUGGUCCACGUUGUGCUGGGCUAGGCCUUCUGAAAGUCUGCCUAACAGGGGGUCUACAUCCAGACUUGCCCUUGAGUGCCUGUGGGACCUCGUGCACCUUACCUCCUGUGUGCUUUCCUGUCUGUGAAAUGGGGAUGAGAACAGUACCCGUUGUUGAGAAGAUUAACUGAGCCAGUGUGUGUAAAGCAUUUAGAUACAGAGUAUGCACCCAAUAAAUACUGGCCACUCUU